rfam:Camelus ferus unplaced genomic scaffold scaffold2448, whole genome shotgun sequence.
GGAGGGUACAGUUCAGUGGCAGAGCGUGUGCUUAGCAUGCAUGAGGUCCUGGGUUCAAUCUCCAGCACCUCCA